AAGUCCAGGGUCUAUUAAAACCU
rnacentral:tRNA from 1 species